rnacentral:rRNA from 1 species
GACGAACGCUGGCGGCGUGCCUAAUACAUGCAAGUCGAACGAGAGCGACCGGUGCUUGCCCUGGUCAAUCUAGUGGCGAACGGGUGAGUAACACGUGGGUAACCUGCCCAUCAGAGGGGGAUAACAUCCGGAAACGGAUGCUAAAACCGCAUAGGUCUUCGAACCGCAUGGUUUGAAGAGGAAAAGAGGCGCAAGCUUCUGCUGAUGGAUGGACCCGCGGUGCAUUAGCUAGUUGGUGAGGUAACGGCUCACCAAGGCCGUGAUGCAUAGCCGACCUGAGAGGGUGAUCGGCCACAUUGGGACUGAGACACGGCCCAAACUCCUACGGGAGGCAGCAGUAGGGAAUCUUCCGCAAUGGACGCAAGUCUGACGGAGCAACGCCGCGUGAGUGAAGAAGGUUUUCGGAUCGUAAAACUCUGUCGUUAGAGAAGAACAAGUGCUAGAGUAACUGUUAGCGCCUUGACGGUAGCUAACCAGAAAGCCACGGCUAACUACGUG